AUGGGCUCUGCAGGCGGAAGGCGGUGGCUCCGAGAUAGGGGUCUUUCAUCUGGGGGUGCCUGUGGAGGCCUUGUUCUUCGUCGGGAACCAGCUCAUUGCUACAAGCCACACGGGGCGCAUCGGGGUGUGGAAUGCCGUCACCAAGCACUGGCAGGUCAGAGUUCUGGCCAGCCUGGCUGCCCCCUUCCCAGUUUUCCAGACUG
rnacentral:sRNA from 1 species